rnacentral:rRNA from 1 species
CUCACACCGGUCUGAACUCAAAUCAUGUAAAACUUUAAAGGUCGAACAGACCUCCUCUUAUAGUCUCUACUCUAUAAAGAACCUUUAAUUCAACAUCGAGGUCGCAAACUCUCUUGUCGAUAAGAACUCUUAAAGAAAAUUACGCUGUUAUCCCUAAAGUAACUUAAUCUUCAAUCCCUUUUAGGAUCAAUAAUUCAAACAUUAUUGUAAGAACAAAAGACAGUUAUCCUUACCUUAUAUCCUUGUCGCCCCAACAAAACAAUUUAAAAUAGUAACCUUAAAAUAAAAUUAAUCUCCACCUUAAAAUAUAAAGUUUUAUAGGGUCUUAUCGUCCCCUUAGAUCAUUUAAGCCUUUUCACUCAAAAGUUAAAUUCAAUAUAUUAAUUUAAGACAGAUUAUUUCUUGUCCAACCAUUCAUUCUAGCCUUCAAUUAAAAAACUAAUGAUUAUGCUACCUUUGCACGGUCAUAAUACCGCGGCCUUUCAGUUCUCCAAC